UAGGGAAUCUUCCGCAAUGGACGCAAGUCUGACGGAGCAACGCCGCGUGAGUGAAGAAGGAUUUCGGUACGUAAAACUCUGUUGUUAGAGAAGAACAGCGCAUAGAGUAACUGUUAUGCGUGUGACGGUAUCUAACCAGAAAGCCACGGCUAACUACGUGCCAGCAGCCGCGGUAAUACGUAGGUGGCAAGCGUUGUCCGGAUUUAUUGGGCGUAAAGCGAGCGCAGGCGGUCAAUUAAGUCUGAUGUGAAAGCCCCCGGCUCAACCGGGGAGGGUCAUUGGAAACUGGUUGACUUGAGUGCAGAAGAGGAGAGUGGAAUUCCAUGUGUAGCGGUGAAAUGCGUAGAUAUAUGGAGGAACACCAGUGGCGAAGGCGACUCUCUGGUCUGUAACUGACGCUGAGGUUCGAAAGCGUGGGUAGCAAACAGG
rnacentral:rRNA from 1 species